GACGGAGGGUGCAAACGUUGUUCGGAAUUACUGGGCGUAAAGCGCACGUAGUCGGCUUUGCAAGUCGGGUGUGAAAUCCCCGGGCUCAACCUGGGAACUGCAUCCGAGACUGCAUUGCUAGAGUAUGGGAGAGGGAAGCGGAAUUUCUGGUGUAGCAGUGAAGUGCGUAGAUAUCAGAAGGAACAUCAGUGGCGAAGGCGGCUUCCUGGACCAAUACUGACGAUCAGGUGCGAAAGCGUGGGGAGCAAACAGG
rnacentral:rRNA from 1 species